ACAUCCAGAGAAUUUAGCAGAGAUGCUUUAGUGCCUUCGGGAACUCUGAGACAGGUGCUGCAUGGCUGUCGUCAGCUCGUGUUGUGAAAUGUUGGGUUAAGUCCCGNAACGAGCGCAACCCUUAUCCUUUGUUGCCAGCACGUAAUGGUGGGAACUCAAAGGAGACUGCCGGUGAUAAACCGGAGGAAGGCGGGGAUGACGUCAAGUCAUCAUGGCCCUUACGAGUAGGGCUACACACGUGCUACAAUGGCGCAUACAAAGAGAAGCGACCUCGCGAGAGCAAGCGGACCUCAUAAAGUGCGUCGUAGUCCGGAUUGGAGUCUGCAACUCGACUCCAUGAAGUCGGAAUCGCUAGUAAUCGUAAAUCAGAAUGUUACGGUGAAUACGUUCCCGGGCCUUGUACACACCGCCCGUCACACCAUGGGAGUGGGUUGCAAAAGAAGUAGAUAGCUUAACCUUCGGGAGGGCGUUUACCACUUUGUGAUUCAUGACUGGGGUGAAGUCGUAACAAGGUAAGCGUAGUGCU
rnacentral:rRNA from 1 species